rnacentral:rRNA from 1 species
GGGAGCGUACGUGCAGGUCGAGGGGCAGCGGUUAGAUGAGCUUGCUCAUUUAUGCCGGCGACCGGCGCACGGGUGACCAUUUCGUAUGCGACCUGCCCGUCUCAGGGGGAUAAUCGUCGCCUAUGGCGUCUAAUACCCCGUAUGAAGCUGGACGGCAUCGUCUGGUUUUGAAAGAAUAUCGGAGACGGAUGGGCAUGCUUCGCAUUAACUAGUUGGCGGGGUAACGGCCCACCAAGGCGACGAUGCGUAUGGGUUCUGAGAGGAAGGUCCCCCACACUGGUACUGAGACACGGACCAGACUCCUACGGGAGGCAGCAGUGAGGAAUAUUGGUCAAUGGGCGAGAGCCUGAACCAGCCCAGUCGCGUGAGGGAGUACUGCCCUAUGGGUUGUAAACCUCUUUUGUCGGGGAGCAAAAGCCGGACGUGUCCGUCUGUGAGAGUACCCGAAGAAAAAGCAUCGGCUAACUCCGUGCCAGCAGCCGCGGUAAUACGGAGGAUGCGAGCGUUAUCCGGAUUUAUUGGGUUUAAAGGGUGCGCAGGCGGAUUUUUAAGUCAUCGGUCAAAUCGUGGGGCUCAACCCCAUCCAGUCGUUGAAACUGGGGAUCUAGAGUGUGCGAGAGGUAUGCGGAAUGCGUGGUGUAGCGGUGAAAUGCAUAGAUAUCACGCAGAACCCCGAUUGCGAACGCAGCAUACCGGUGCACAACUGACGCUCAAGCACGAAAGCGUGGGUAUCGAACAGGAUUAGAUACC